UACGAAGGGGGCUAGCGUUGUUCGGAAUUACUGGGCGUAAAGCGCGUGUAGGCGGUCUUUAAGUCAGGGGUGAAAUGCCAAGGCUCAACCUUGGAACUGCCUUUGAUACUGGAGACCUUGAGUCCGGGAGAGGUGAGUGGAAUUGCGAGUGUAGAGGUGAAAUUCGUAGAUAUUCGCAAGAACACCAGUGGCGAAGGCGGCUCACUGGCCCGGAACUGACGCUGAGACGCGAAGCGUGGGGAGCAAACAGG
rnacentral:rRNA from 1 species